UAGGGAAUCUUCGGCAAUGGACGAAAGUCUGACCGAGCAACGCCGCGUGAGUGAAGAAGGUUUUCGGAUCGUAAAACUCUGUUGUUAGAGAAGAACAAGGGUGAGAGUAACUGUUCACCCCUUGACGGUAUCUAACCAGAAAGGAACGGCUAACUACGUGCCUG
rnacentral:rRNA from 1 species